GGAAGCGAGUGGCGAACGGGUGAGUAACACGUAGGAAUUUGCCAUGAAGAGGGGGAUAACCACAGGAAACUGUGGCUAAUACCGCAUAACACUCUGAGGAGGAAAAGACGGGACUCGAAAGAGGCGUCUGCUUAAUGAUAAGCCUACGGUGAAUUAGCUAGUUGGUUAGGUAAAGGCUGACCAAGGCGACGAUCCAUAGCUGGUCUGAGAGGACGUACAGCCACACUGGAACUGAGAAACGGUCCAGACUCCUACGGGAGGCAGCAGUGGGGAAUAUUGGACAAUGGGGGGAACCCUGAUCCAGCGAUGCCGCGUGUGUGAAGAAGGUCUAAGGAUUGUAAAGCACUUUAGGUGAGGAAGAAGGGCUAAUACUGAAAAGGUAUUAGAGAGGACGGUACUCACAGAAUAAGCACCGGCUAACUCUGUGCCAGCAGCCGCGGUAAGACAGAGGGUGCAAGCGUUAAUCGGAAUGACUGGGCGUAAAGGGCGAGUAGGCGGUAACCCAAGUUGGAUGAGAAAUAACUAGGCUUAACCUAGAGGCAAAGUCCAAUACUAGGAUACUAAGAGUACAGUAGAGGAGAGUGGAAUUUCCAGUGUAGCGGUAGAAUGCGUAGAGAUUGGGAAGAACACCGGUGGCGAAGGCGACUCUCUGGACUUGUACUGACGCUGAGGAGCGAGAGCAUGGGGAGCAAACAGGAUUAGAUACCCUGGUAGUCCAUGCUGUAAACGAUGAAGAUUAGCUGUUGCUGAAAAAGCAGUAGCGAAGUUAACACGAUAAAUCUUCUGCCUGGGGAGUACGACCGCAAGGUUAAAACUCAAAGGAAUUGACGGGGGCCAGCACAAGCGGUGGAGUAUGUGGUUUAAUUCGAUGCAACACGAAGAACCUUACCUACUUUUGACAUUUUAUGGAGUACCGAGAGAUUGGUAUGUGCCCGAAAGGGAGCAUAGAAACAGGUGCUGCAUGGCUGUCGUCAGCUCGUGUCGUGAGAUGUUGGGUUAAGUCCCGUAACGAGCGCAACCCUUGUCCUUAGUUACCAACUAUGAAAAUAGGGGACUCUAAGGAGACUGCCCGUGAUAAGCGGGAGGAAGGUGGGGAUGACGUCAAGUCAUCAUGGCCUUUAUAAGUAGGGCUACACACGUGCUACAAUGGAUAGGACAAAGGGAAGCAAGCCUGCGAAGGUAAGCGGAACUCAGAAACCUAUUCGUAAUCCGGAUUGGAGUCUGCAACUCGACUCCAUGAAACUGGGAUCGCUAGUAAUCGCGAAUCAGCAGGUCGCGGUGAAUACGUUCUCGGGCCUUGUACACACCGCCCGUCACACCAUGGGAGUGGGUGGUACCAGAAGUAAAAGGACUAACCGAAAGGGGGUUUUUUACCACGGUAUGAUUCAUGACUGGGGUGAAGUCGUAACAAGGUA
rnacentral:rRNA from 1 species